rnacentral:lncRNA from 1 species
UAGGGUCUAUGGAAUCUGAUUUAGGGUCUAUGGAAUCUGAUUUAGGGUCUAUGGAAUCUGAUUUAGGGUCUAUGGAAUCUGAUUUAGCGUCUAUGGAAUCUGAUUUAGGGUCUAUCGAAUCUGAUUUAGAGUCUACGGAAUCUGAUUUAGCGUCUAUGGAAUCUGAUUUAUUGUCUAUGGAACUUGAUUUAGGGUCUAUGGAAUCUGACUUAGGGUCUAUGGAAUCUGACUUAGGGUCUAUGGAAUCUUAUUUAGUGUCUAUGGAAUCCGAUUUAGGGUCUAUGGAAUCUGAUUUAAGGUCCAUGGAAUCAGAUUUAUGGUCUAUGGAAUCUGACUUACGGUCUAUGGAAUCUGACUUAGGGUCUAUGGAAUCUGAUUUAGGGUCUAUGGAAUCUGAUUUAGGGUCUAUGGAAUCUGAUUUAGGGUCUAUGGAAUCUGACUUGGGGUCCAUGGAAUCUGAUUUAGGGUCUAUGGAAUUUGAUUCAGGGUCUAUGGAAUCUGAUUUAGGGUCUAUGGAAUCUGAUUUAGGGUCUAUGGAAUCUGAUUUAGGGUCUAUGGAAUCUGAUUUAGGGUCUAUGGAAUCUGACUUGGGGUCCAUGGAAUCUGAUUUAGGGUCUAUGGAAUCUGAUUCAGGGUCUAUGGAAUCUGAUUUAGGGUCUAUGGAAUCUGAUUCAGGGUCUAUGGAAUCUGAUUUAGGGUCUAUGGAAUCUGAUUUAGGGUCUAUGGAAUCUGACUUGGGGUCCAUGGAAUCUGAUUUAGGGUCUAUGGAAUUUGAUUCAGGGUCUAUGGAAUCUGAUUUAGGGUCUAUGGAAUCUGAUUCAGGGUCUAUGGAAUCUGAUUUAGGGUCUAUGGAAUCUGAUUUAGGGUCCACGGAAUCUGAUUUAGGGUCUAUGGAAUCUGAUUUAGGGUCUAUGGAAUCUGAUUUAGGGUCUAUGGAAUCUGACUUGAGGUCCAUGGAAUCUGAUUGAAGGUCUAUGGAAUCUGAUUUAGGGUCCAUGGAAUCUGAUUUAGAGUCUAUUGAAUCUGAUUUAGGGUCUAUGGAAUCUGAUUUAGGGUCUAUGGAAUCUGACUUGGGGUCCAUGGAAUCUGAUUUAACAUCUAUGGAAUCUGAUUUAGGGUCUAUGGAAUCUGAUUUAGGGUAUAUGGAAUCUGACUUAGGGUCUAUGGAAUCUGAUUUAUGGUCGAUGGAAUCUGAUUUAGGGUCUAUGGAAUCUGACUUAGGGUCUAUGGAAUCUGACUUAGGGUCUACGGAAUCUGAUUUAGCGUCUAUGGAAUCUGAUUUAUUGUCUAUGGAACUUGAUUUAGGGUCUAUGGAAUCUGACUUAGGGUCUAUGGAAUCUGACUUAGGGUCUAUGGAAUCUUAUUUAGUGUCUAUGGAAUCCGAUUUAGGGUCUAUGGAAUCUGAUUUAAGGUCCAUGGAAUCAGAUUUAUGGUCUAUGGAAUCUGACUUAGGGUCUAUGGAAUCUGACUUAGGGUCUAUGGAAUCUGAUUUAGGGUCUAUGGAAUCUGAUUUAGG